CUUAGCUGGGAACACUCAGAAACCCCUGGACAGGACAGUACCUGGGAGGGGACAAGCCUGACCCGUCCCUAGGAGCUCCUGGCUGGCAGCGGUGAGCCCAGGAGAGACUGGGAGGUUCCUGACCGCGGCCUGCCGGCCUGUGGAGAGACCGAGGAGUCUGGCGCUUUGGGAACGCCCUGGGAGGGGCCGGCGGGUGCCACACGCAGAAUGGAAGACGAGACUGUGGAGGAGAGAUGUGAGCUAUUCUCAGAUGAGGCAGCUCCACACAGUGCUGCCCAGGAGCCCCCGGGACCCCAUCGCCCCAUCCCAAUGCAGAGAAACUCCAUCUUCAAGCGCGCCCUGAGACGCCGAAGCCAAACCCAGAGCCGAGGCACCCCCGGCCAGAACACCAGCAACCCUGAGGCAGAUUCCACGGAAAACGGAAAGUCUAUAAAUACACCCCAGAGCAGAGCCCCUUCUUGGAGACCAUCAGCACACACAGUCCGGGGAGCCCAGAA